UGGGGAAUUUUGGACAAUGGGGGAAACCCUGAUCCAGCCAUCCCGCGUGUGCGAUGAAGGCCUUCGGGUUGUAAAGCACUUUUGGCAGGAAAGAAACGUCAUGGGUUAAUACCCCGUGAAACUGACGGUACCUGCAGAAUAAGCACCGGCUAACUACGUGCCAGCAGCUGCGGUAAAACGUAGGGUGCAAGCGUUAAUCGGAAUUACUGGGCGUAAAGCGUGCGCAGGCGGUUCGGAAAGAAAGAUGUGAAAUCCCAGAGCUCAACUUUGGAACUGCAUUUUUAACUGCCGGGCUAGAGUGUGUCAGAGGAGUGUGGAAUUCCGCGUGUAGCAGUGAAAUGCGUAGAUAUGCGGAGGAACACCGAUGGCGAAGGCAGCCUCCUGGAAUAACACUGACGCUCAUGCACGAAAGCGUGGGGAGCAAACAGG
rnacentral:rRNA from 1 species